AAAUAAAUAAAUAAAUAAAUAAAUAAAUAAAUAAAUAAAUAAGCUGGGUAUGAUGGCACAUGCCUGUAAUCCCAGCUACUCAGGAGUCUGAGGCACGAGAGUCGCUUGAACCUGGGAGGCGAUAGUUGCAGUGAGCCGAGAUCACACCACUGCACUCCAUCUUGGGCAACAGAGUGAGACCCUGUCUGAAAAAAAUAAAAAAUAAAUAAGAAAUAAAUAAAUAAUUAGGUGUGGUGGUGCACGCCUGUAGUCCCAGCUACUCGGGAGGCUGAGGCAGGGAGAUUGCUUGAGCCAGGGAAGUUGAGGCUGCAGUAAGCUGUGAUCGUGCCACUACACUCCAGGCUGGGCGAUAGAGGAAGACCCUGUCUCUAAAUAAAUAAAUAGGCUUAUGAAAAAGGUUAGGGAGCAUUUCAGGCAAUUACCUUAUUUUACAUUUUUGGUUGGGAAAAUAGAGGACUUUAAAGAUGAAUAUCAAAACUACCUCCAAACCUACCAUCCAGAGAUAACCACAUUUAACAAUUUGGUUUUACUUUCACAGUUAUUUACUACAGUAAUGUGUGUGAGUAUAUAUGUGUACUAAUUUUGUUGUUACAGAAUUGACACUUUUUUCUAUGCAUUCUGCUUUUUGACCUACUUGGAAAGAAUUUAACAAUAUAUCCUAAAAAUUGCCUGUGCUAUUGAGACUGUUUCUUUUGUUAUCUGGAUAAUACUAUUAUAUUUGCUCACUUUCCCCGUGAUAGUUUGGAAGGUAGUUCUCAUAUUUUAAAUAUCCACUACUGCUGCCUUUUGGGUUUUUGUUCGUGUUUGUGUAUAUACAUGUUAAUGUUUUUGUUUGUGUGCGUGCGUGUGUGUGUAUAUAUAUAUGCACAUGUAUAUGCAUGUUUUCCCUAAUCAAUGCCAGGAGAAAAUGGUAUUUAUUAACUUUAUUUCUGCAAGAUGGGAAAGUCGGCACAUUUACUACCUCUCUUUCUCCAGCUCCCACGUUUCCUAGUUUUUUGUUGAUACAAUCUAGAAUUAUUUAAAUCAAUUAUUAUCAUUAUUAAUGAAUGCUAAAGUCAUAUUUUCUUUUUGUAUUAGGUUAUUUCUUGCUUCUGGCUUUAUUAUUAUUUUAAAACUUUGCAAAAUUGACGAAUAAUUGUAGAUAUUCAUGCGGUACAUAGUGCCGUUGUGAUACAUAUAAUUUAUAGUGAUCAGAUCACAGUAGUUAGCAUAUCCGUCAUCUCAAACAUUUAUCAUUUCUUUGUGUCGGGAACAUUCAGUAUCUUCCUUCUAGCUAUUUGAAACUAUGUACUAUUAUUAACUAGAGCCAUCCUACAGUGGUAUAGAACACUAGAACUUAGUCCUCUUUCUUAGCUGUAAUUUUGUUCUGGUGAGCCCAGAUCAUGCCAGUGCACUCCAAUCUGGGUGACAGAGUAAGACUCUGUUUCAAAAAAAAAAAAA
rnacentral:lncRNA from 1 species